rnacentral:lncRNA from 1 species
GCAGAAAGUCCUUCCUUUCGACUGUCCUGAAUUUUCAAACAUUCAGCUUCGCUGGAUGCCCCCACUGGGUUCUAGCAUUAUGAGAGAGGUUGACAAACUCUCUUGUCCACUUUCGCCACAGAAUUCCCAGCAACUGUCAUUCAGAGGCAUACUGCCUCCAACUGCAGAGGCAGAGCACAGCCACUGUGGCUAGCAAUCACUAUCAGUCCAUGCGCUGAUGGUGCCUGAGCGCAACAGCUUUCUCAGAACCUGAGCACAACAGCUUUCUUCCUACCUGCCUCUGACAGUCGUGGUAGAACUUAGCCAUCCAAGUUGGUGGCCAUCAGUUUUUCUUGUGGGAGUGAAUUCCAUAGUUUAACUCUGCCCUGUGUGAAGACGGAUGUCUUUCCUUUUGACUGCCCUGAAUUUUUCAGCACUGAAUGGGUGUUGAAUGGGUCCUGAAUCUUCUAACACUGAAUAACCCAUUGAGUUCUAGUAUUAUAUCACUAGUAUUAUAUCACUAUUUUUGAAAGGUCACACUUCCCCAUCCCGAACAUUAAAAUACCCACUAAUUCCAAUCCCUGAAGGGAAUCUUGAUAGAUUGCCUUGUAUGAAGGCAGAAGCAAAUCUAUCCUAUCAGCUGGAUUUUGGGACCAUUGAAGCACUAUCCAUGUAGGAGAAAAAGAUGCCUGUCGAUGGCAGCUGGCACUGAGGAAAGAGCCCAUUAAUCAGACCAACGGCUGCAAACUGUUUGCUGCCUUAUUGACUUCCGUUUGUCAGUUAUGAAUCAACCGUUGCAUAUAUGACCUCCACUUUUAAGCAGGGAUUGCAAUUAGCUGCAGCGAUAAAUAACACCUGUCUUUUGAAAGACAAAUGUAGGGCUCUUUGACCAGGAGGGUUUGAGCAUUCAAAGAAAAACCUUUGCUAAAUCUGGUAAUUGCUGUUGUUAUGAGUUGCUGCCUGAUUACUAGGGAUGGAAGGAUCUGCCAGUUUUGCUUCUCUAGGAUGGAAGGAUCUUUCAGCUUUAGUUCUCUUGGGGCCAGUUUACCUGUGAGAUCGUCUUCCCCCAUAUAUGCCCACGUGACCACUUCAAUUGGAGGAACUGGCACUGUUACAGCUGCCACGUAACACCCCUUCUGCAAUUGUAAGAACUCCGUCUUGUAGUACGGCAGCAGCUGCACUUUGGAACUCCCUGCCUAUUGACACCAGGCACACACCUUUGCUGCACUCUUUUUGAUACUUGCUUAAAACAUUAGAGAAGCCUGUCAGAUGUUUAGAAAAUUGAUGCAGUUUUUGAUCUGUUUUUAGUCUGUUGUUAACUUUUUGAAAGUUUUUUAAUUAUUGUUGUUAAUUUUUCUUAAUGAUUAUUUUAUUGUUUUAGCUUUUUUGUAAAUCACAUGUAGGGUAUAGUUGGUUUUUUUUACAGUGAAGCAGUGUAUAAAUUUAAUGAAAUAAAUAAUAAAUUGAAAGCCAGGCAUUAAUAAAUAAUUACAGAAAAAUCCAUCCACCAUCUCUCUCCCAGGUUCCCUCUCCUGUUCACUAUCCAUGCUUCUUGAGGUCAUAGAAUAAUAGAAUAAAAAAAACCUGUAGCGUUUGAAUGGAAACCAAGGGUCACCUGGUUUAACUCCUUGCAAUGCAGAAAUCACAGCUAAGAUAUGACACUUUCAUAUUUGGGCAGGGAAAGGAUUUGCCACCCUAUCCCUGUUCCUGGAUUUCUGAUGCCGCAGGGAAUUUCUUUUUACUCUCCUUCCUCUUGUUAUUUUCUGUUUCAACUGAAACUCCUUUCAUGUCUGUGCCUGAGUUUUCCUGCAGAAGGCAGACAAAGCCUGCAGGAGGGAACUCCUAUCAAAUCUUUCCAAAAAAAUUAAAAAGGGAGACUUCCAAAAAGCAGCAUAGAUGGGGCAGAACUGGGGGUUGGAAGGUGAGGGAAGGAGGGUGGUCUGAAUCCACAUGUUCCUUCUUUCUGGUUAAAAUCAUCUGAAAUCUGACAGAUGGAAAAUUGGAAAUACUUUUUAUCUUUCUUCUUUCUUUUUGUAUUAUUUCCUUCUUUUUCUUCUUUCUUUUCCUUUGUUUCCCUUCGAGUCCUUUGCUCUGGGUGAUUUAAGAAAAAAAUGGGGUUGGCUUUUACAAGUUUAUUAUCGGUCAGAGAAGAAUGAGUGGAGGCAGGAACCAGAGAAAGAAAGGCAGAUCUUUAUUUUCUGUUGCAACAGAGUCCACACACCUCCACUUGCAAGGAGGUGAGGAGGACCCAGAACAAAUGUAUGUAACAACCUUUAAAGACUUUAGAAAUUGCCCACCCUGUAGCCAAAGACCACCCAAAAGCAUCAGACAGGUGUCACAGAAAGAGGCAAUCUAUAACUGAAAUUUGGGAGUGUGACUGUCUAAUGGCCAGCCUGGGCCAUUCUUCUGAAAUGGCAAAUACCUUAAUUCUAAGAUCCAUGGUCACAGACCUUCCCUAUUCAUGCAAGGUGUUUAUGUUUUUUACAGGAUUUGAAGGAUUUUGCUGGUGAAAAGAACCAUUGGGAAGGGUUUUCCCAAGAUACUUCCUUCUACGGCAGAGAAAAUAUCUGGGGUCUUUAAGAGAGUCAAGAGGCUUCGGGAUUGCUCUGUGAACUCAAAGUGUUUUUUUUUUUAGGGAAUAUUUCCUAAUUUUUGAAGGGCAAAGAAUUGGUUUUCUGUGCCCCUUAAAAAAGCCUAGUUUUUGAAGGGCAAAGGAUGGGUUUUCUGUGCACCUUAAAAUUUGUGUAACAUGAACCAUUAGUGGGGUUCAAGCACUGAAGAUGAUGGUUGGUCGGUGAAGAACCCUGUGUGAGAGGCAGAGAAUGGAGGAAUUCCUAGGCUGGGAGAAGAAAGGGGAGCUCCCAGGUGAGAGCUGGGAGGGUCCAUCCCUUUCAGUGUGAGACAAAGGUUAAGAUUUACCUUUGAGAGAGGACUUUGCAUUUCCC